CUGUGUCUUGGAAUGACAUUAAACUUACCCUGGUGCGGAUGGGAUAUCUCUCCCGCCUGGUUUCUUGUUUCCAGUCAAAGAACAAGUGGUGGAUCCAAUU
ncrna:unclassified sequences wcaG RNA